rnacentral:lncRNA from 1 species
AGCCUGGAAACCAUGGCAGCAGCAGGAAGUUCCGGCUGUUUUAAAGUUGCGGUUCCGGUGUUCAAAAUGCCAAGGAUGAUGGGAAACUUGAGCUUGUUUAUCGGUUUGUACGGAACGCCACCCACCGUUCGGAAAACAUCUGACCCCGUGAGGUGCUAGAUCCUGGAUACCUGAGACACAUCAACUUCUCAGGUUUGGAAUGCACAAUGAUGAGACACAAAAACAUAAACAUCUCCAGAAAGAAGCUAUGACUGGAACACAGAGGACUACUAGAUUAAGUGGAAACAAUGCCCAGGCAUCCCAGUGCCCCCACUGAUGGUCCAGCUAUCAUCAAGAUGGUGACGAGUUACAUAUGACCUGGAGGAGGACUGUGCAGAGUACCUUCUAGCACCAUAAACACUAAUCAGUGAGCAAUGCUGAACUUCUAAUUAGGCAAGAGCUCAACCUCUUCAUGCUUGAGGACAUAAAGUUCAGGAUCAAGCUCAGAAGCUCACAGCUGCCAGCAGCACACUACUACUGCACUGUCUCCUUAGUCCAUGCUCACUCUUAAAUAGCCACAAAACACUCAGUGGUAUGGCAAAGGAAACCUCCAUUUCAUUUAGAUGUUUAUGAUAAUUUUUCCCACUUUAAUUAUUUUAUGUAGUUGAAUAUGAUUUUUUUUCCUAAGGAAUUUUUUUAUCUCAAUGUAAGACUCUUGAACCUUUAUGUUAUAUAUAAUUUCCUGUAGUUUUCAAAAUUGCUUUAAUAAAAAAGUUUAACUUUAAAAC